UACGGAGGGAGCUAGCGUUGUUCGGAAAUACUGGGCGUAAAGCGCACGUAGGCGGCGCAGCAAGUCAGGGGUGAAAUCCCGGGGCUCAACCCUGGAACUGCCUCUGAAACUGCAGUGCUAGAAUCUUGGAGAGGCGAGUGGAAUUCCGAGUGUAGCGGUGAAAUGCGUAGAUAUCUGGAGGAACACCGGUGGCGAAGGCGGCAUCCUGGACCGGCAUUGACGCUGAGGCGCGAAAGCUAGGGGAGCAAACGGG
rnacentral:rRNA from 1 species